GUGCUCGCUUCGACAGCACAUAUACUAAAAAUGGAAUGGUACAGAGAAGUUUAGCACGACCCCCGCACAAGGAUGAUUCUCAAAUUAAUGAAGAAUUCCAUCAUUGG
ensembl:snRNA U6 U6 spliceosomal RNA